CCUGGCUGCAAGCCACCACCCCCCCAAUGACAAUGGUAUUCAAUAAAAUUAAAGAAUGUCACCUCAUGGAUAAAUUGACGGCGCAAAUCAGAGGCUCCACGAAAACAUUCACUAAGACAUGGGAACCAUGGGAAAACUACAUUGACAAAACAUAAAUCAGAUAACUGAACAAAGGACACAAUACUCAAAAGACGAACAAGACGGAU